GUGCCAUUAAGGAAAGCAAAAACCCAACCAAAAUUUGCAUAUUAAAAUUAAUUUUAAAAAAAACUUGUAAAAAAAAAAAAAAAAAAAAUACUUUUCAUGGGUACUUUCAUUGUGUAAAGUUUAAUUUUGAUAGGAGUAAAGGAAAAAAAAUAGCCCCAUUGGGGUGUAUUGUUGACUGGCCUUAUUGGCACACAUUUCGGAUUGAUGAUAAAUUAACAUAUUUCCUCAACUAGGAUUUCUUAGGACUUUUAGUAUGUUGUUCUGGGCACCUCAUAGAAAUGAUCUAUGCUGAAAAAAAAAUAUUUUACAAUUAGUCUGUCGUAAAAUGCUUCUUUGCCUGGACUAAAAAUAAAUUAAGUAAUUGUGAUUAUGAUUUUUUUUAAUUCAUGGCCAAAGUAUCAUUACUGAAAUCAAAUAUACAUUCAUUAAAGAAAAGGAAGAGAAAAUAUAUGAUAGAACUGAUAGAAAGUGGCAGGGACAUUAGCCUACAUAAUUUAGAAAUACAUCUGAAUAUAUAUGCCUUACACUGAACAAAGACCAUAACCACUAUUCUUCUCAUGUAGCCUACCCCAAUUACAAUUUCAACCUUACCAUUACAAUUUUGUUAUUGGUAUUUUACUUUCAUUUUCUUGUAAACAAAAGUGAGUCUCCUGAGUCAGCCGUAGAUAGAUAGAUAGAUAUAGACCAAUAGAGGGAUAGAGAAAUAAAUGUUAUACUUGUUACCAAAUCUUUAUUUUUGAUAAACCAGACAACUUUUCCAGUCACAUAAUGAAUAAAAUUAAGUAAGACAACAACUUACAACAUACUUUCCAUUUCUUUUUCCAGAUGCUGAAAACAUGAUGCAAACUGUUGAGACGAAGGAAACACCUGCAGCCACACUUCCUCCCAGAGAUAUUGGGUCUCCAACAGAUGAUGUUGCAGAACCUGAAAAUGAAAUCAUGGACGAAAAUCUUGGAUUAGAUCCAAUGGCAGCUGUUGUGUCUGACCCAGAGGAUAGAUCUUAUCGUCAAGAUGAUAGUGAUGUAGAAGAAAUAUCUGACUGGGAGGAACCAGAAAAACUCAGAAAUCGCCUUUCCAGCUGGGC
ensembl:lncRNA